rnacentral:rRNA from 1 species
UGAGGAAUAUUGGUCAAUGGUCGGGAGACUGAACCAGCCAAGCCGCGUGAGGGAGGAAGGUACAGAGUAUCGUAAACCUCUUUUGUCAGGGAGCAACAACAUCUACGAGUAGGUGUUACGAGAGUACCUGAAGAAAAAGCAUCGGCUAACUCCGUGCC